rnacentral:tRNA from 1 species
GCGCCUGUAGCUCAGCUGGAUAGAGCAUCUGCCUUCUAAGCAGAGGGCCAGGGGUUCGAAUCCCUUCAGGCGCGCCA